CUGUCCGAGCAGCGGAUGUGUGAGAUGAGAUGAUUCAGUGGCUGACAGGAAGCCGCCCUCCCUGCUGCCCGCCCGUAUCUGUGGCCUGGGUGUCGGCCCGGGCAGGUGUGGGAUCAGGAUGGGGUGGCCGCAGUGAGGAGCCCCCGAUGCUCAGGAAGGAGCCAGACGCAGACAUGAGUCUAGAGACGGAGCUGCUGUGGAUGGGGGCAUCCCUGCUGCUGCUUCUGGGGGCCGCGGCCGGCCUGUGUGUGCGCUGCUCCCGCCCAGGUGCCAAGAGGUCCGAGAAGAUCUACGAGCAGAGAAGCCCGCAAGACAAUUCCCAGAGCUUUGCCGUGGCCCGGACCUAUUCCUUGGUCCGGCAGGUAUGUCCAAGGCCCCUGGCCGAGCCGGCCUCUGAUGCCUCAUACACAAGGAAGGACAAGCUGCUGCAGUUCUCACCCAGCCUCGAGGAUUCUGCAGCCCCCAGGUACCAGAACUUCAGCAAAGGAAGCAGAUGCAGGUCCGAUGCAGCCUACAUAGACCCCAUUGCUGUGGACAUUCCCCAUUGGAGGCGGUUCCAGAAGGAAGACGAAGACGACACCAAUUCCUACGAGAACGUGCUCAUCUGCAAGCCGAGUCACCUCGAGCCAAGUGAGGCCGCCCAGGGCGACGAGGAGUCUGAGGAUUAUCAGAACUCGGCUUCCAUCCAGCAGUGGCGGGAGUCCCGCAGGGCUGUGGAGCUGGUCCAGAGGGAGGCACCUCAGUCCCCGGUGGGGGGCCUGGACGAGGAUGGCGGGGAGCCCGAUUAUGUCAAUGGGAGCCUGGCCGGGGCUCUUGGGGAGGCCUAGGGACUGCAGCAGUGACUCAACCUCCAGGAACCCAUUUCCUUACUUGCAAAGUGGAGCCAACAGUGCCCCCAUCUUGGGAGAGGAGUUGAAGAAGGCGAGUAGUGAUCAUCUGCAAAGAAGCAUGUUGGGUGCCAACAGAAAUGAUAUAGGAGCUAGGAGUUUGGGCUCGAGCUAUGGCUGGACAGAACCACUUACCUCCCGGAUCCCAGCCCGCAGAGAAGGGCCUCAACACCACAUUCCGGCAUCCACAGAUGCGAGGGGGGCACAGUCUCGGGGUUCAGAUAACUUACAGGGCCAUCUGUCAAUCAAGGCAGAAGACAGCUGAGCUCAAGCUGGAUAGAACUUGAUUUUCUGUGUAUUAAGAGAAGGCCGAAUCUGGAGAGGCGAGCACCCUGUCGCAGGCUGUGUCCUGGUGAAGGCUACUGGCUGUUACAGAGGGAAUCCCUGCCCUCGGUGGGGGUGUGCAACAACCAAGCUUUGGCUAAGUCCUUGGUGCAGUUGGGAUUUCAAACUAAAAGCAGAAGUAUCUGGAAUAAGAAGCCUGGGUCAGUGCCGCUUGAUGGCCAGUUUCUCUUCUCAACCGGCUGUGGGAAGGCAGCUGAAGGGGUCCCCUGUCUUCCCCCAACCAGCUGCUCUGGUGCUGAGGGAACAAAAUGCAAGGAAGGCAAACCUUUUCUUUGUAAUGAAUUAUUUUCCUCUUCAUUGAAGGAGCCGAGGCAAGAAGCAGAGGAAAUCACUGAACUCAUAGAACUAUUUAUUGCCUCCCAAAGAUCACUUUUUCCAGAGCUGCCCACGUUUGAGUCACCUGGUUACUCUUGGUGUCCUAUGUUUGAGUCACCUGGCCACAGUUACUCUGGGUGGUCCCGACACAUCCCAGGACCACCUGGCCGUGGGGACGUGGCUGGGAAGCAGCGCUUGGGAGUGGAUGGUUACAUGUGGAAUCACCAGCGCUGGAGCUCAGUCAGCCAAGCCCUCAUCCCUGACCCAGGCUUCCGUGGGGCCCAACUGGGGCUGGGGUCAAGGCCAACGCGGUUCCCUCCGUGACCUGAUGCCCAGGAUUUAGGGCAAGUUGCAUCGUCCCCACCCCCCAUAUCUAAACCAUUGUAAAACACUGAUAUGCGUGUCCUUUUUUGCUUUGAAUUUGGAUCCCAAGUUGCUUAUUAAUGUCGGAAGCUGGGAUUGUUUUUAUGAUGGAUAAGCUUGUACAGUUAAUUUAUAUAGGUGGAGCCAUAUUUAAUAUUCCCAACUUCAAGGUUGUCUAUUUUAUCUCUUAAGCAUUACGUGUACUUGAUUUCAGCGUGCCAGCCGGGGGGGUCCUGGCCCUCCUCCGCCUUUGGUGGAGGCCCCUCCUUCCUUUGGGCCUCAGUUGAGUCAGGAAGAAAUGAGGUUUCAGCUGUCUCUUAUAGUGCACUGACACUUCAGUGGAAACGGUGUUCGCUGUGGGCCACACAUAUGUCUGCUCUGGAGAAGUGGCAGUCAGGAAAGAGUGGCUGUGGAUCCCCCAGGUGCCCUCAAAGCCUCCCCUGCUCUGGAGCAGGCCUUGGCCGGGCUGAGCUGACUGGACAGUGACCGGAUGUCUCGUGGGAAUGUUCCCUAAGGAACCACAUGUUCUAAGCCAGAAAAGCCACUCAAGGGAAAUGAAAUGCUUCCUCCAACCUAAAUUCUUCAAUAAACCAUUUCAAUUUAAAGCAGUAA